GUGCUUGCUUCAGCAGCACAUUUACUAAAAUUGGAAUGAUACAGAGAUUAGCAUGGCCCCUGCGCAAGGAUGACACACAAAUUUGUGAAGCAUUCCAUAUUAAA
rnacentral:snRNA from 1 species